UGGGGAAUAUUGGAUAAUGGGCGAAAGCCUGAUCCAGCCAUGCCGCGUGUGUGAAGAAGGUCUUCGGAUUGUAAAGCACUUUAAGUUGGGAGGAAGGGCAGUAAGCGAAUACCUUGCUGUUUUGACGUUACCGACAGAAUAAGCAUCUGCUAACUCUGUGCCAGCAGCCGCGGUAAUACAGAGGGUGCAAGCGUUAAUCGGAAUUACUGGGCGUAAAGCGCGCGUAGGUGGUUCGUUAAGUUGAAUGUGAAAGCCCCGGGCUGAACCUAUGAACAGCAUCCAUAACUGACGAGCUAGAGUAGAGCAGAAGGUAGUGGAAUUUCAAGUGUAGCGGUGAAAUGCGUAGAUAUAGGAUGGAACACCAGUCGCGAAGGCGACCACCUGGGAUAAAACUGACACUGAGGUGCGAAAGCGUGAGGAGCAAACAGG
rnacentral:rRNA from 1 species